rnacentral:rRNA from 1 species
GAUGAACGCUGGCGGCGUGCCUAAUACAUGCAAGUCGAGCGAACGGACGAGAAGCUUGCUUCACUGAUGUUAGCGGCGGACGGGUGAGUAACACGUGGAUAACCUACCUAUAAGACUGGGAUAACUUCGGGAAACCGGAGCUAAUACCGGAUAAUAUUUUGAACCGCAUGGUUCAAAGGUGAAAGACGGUCUUGCUGUCACUUAUAGAUGGAUCAGCGCUGCAUUAGCUAGUUGGUAAGGUAACGGCUUACCAAGGCAACGAUGCAUAGCCGACCUGAGGGGGUGAUCGGCCACACCGGAACUGAGACACGGUCCAGACCACUACCGGAGGCAGCAGUAGGGAAUCUUCCGCAAUGGGCGAAAGCCUGACGGAGCAACGCCGCGUGAGUGAUGAAGGUCUUCGGAUCGUAAAACUCUGUUAUUAGGGAAGAACAUAUGUGUAAGUAACUGUGCACAUCUUGACGGUACCUAAUCAGAAAGCCACGGCUAACUCCGUG